rnacentral:rRNA from 1 species
GACGAACGCUGGCGGCGUGCCUAAUACAUGCAAGUCGAACGCUUCUUUCCUCCCGAGUGCUUGCACUCAAUUGGAAAGAGGAGUGGCGGACGGGUGAGAAACACGUGGGUAACCUACCCAUCAGAGGGGGAUAACACUUGGAAACAGGUGCUAAUACCGCAUAACAGUUUAUGCCGCAUGGCAUAAGAGUGAAAGGCGCUUUCGGGUGUCGCUGAUGGAUGGACCCGCGGUGCAUUAGCUAGUUGGUGAGGUAACGGCUCACCAAGGCCACGAUGCAUAGCCGACCUGAGAGGGUGAUCGGCCACACUGGGACUGAGACACGGCCCAGACUCCUACGGGAGGCAGCAGUAGGGAAUCUUCGGCAAUGGACGAAAGUCUGACCGAGCAACGCCGCGUGAGUGAAGAAGGUUUUCGGAUCGUAAAACUCUGUUGUUAGAGAAGAACAAGGACGUUAGUAACUGAACAUCCCCUGACGGUAUCUAACCAGAAAGCCACGGCUAACUACGUG